GAUGCCCCUAAGCCCUGCUUGCCAGCUCUGAGAUCUGACGACAACUAUUGACUCUGACAUCUAACAAAUGAUUCUGACUGUGGUUUAAUGGAUGAUUGAUGGGCAUCUGCGUUUUGAAGGAAUAUAAUCGAGUUUUAUAUGAGGAGCAUGAUGUAAACUGAGGUAUAGCCUAAAAUGUACACAGUGGUGCAGUAGUGAAAAAUAUGACAAAUCUAUUUAUAAAAUACCUUGCUGCUAUAUGUACACUGGAUAGGCAACUGAUUUUUCAGUGCACUGCCAUUUGAAAAUGUCUUAAUUAGUAAGCUGUGUACACACCGUCCUAGU